GCCCCCGCUGCAAUGGAAACUUGGAAGGAUUAUCCGCACGUUACCCGGCAAGGAUGGAGUGAUCAGAGUCGUGGAUUUGGACACGAAGCAUGGAAGUCUGCGGAGACCUGUGUUCAAGUUAGCCAGGUUGCCGCUGGAUUCAGCACAUGAAGAAGUUCAGCCCCGGCCGCCCCAGGAUGUUCGCGCGACAGCGCGACGUUUAUAAAUGUUCGGCUCAACUCGGGUGCCGUCGCCCGUACGCACCCCGCACCUCUCAUAACAGUGCGGUACAUGACGGCACGCGGAGAUACGCUCGUUCGAUAUUGAGUAAAUUGUGCGCGCGCGCCUUUCGAUACUAAGUAAAAGGUUGAGUGUGAACCGGUGAAAAGGUGUAUGUGCCACCCAUCGCAGAGGAACACCACUACGACCGUGAUAGUGCCAGCAUCAGCUCCAAGUAAGUCCCGUUUUCCUACCUACCCUUUCGUGUCCGCUCAUUCUCCGCAGAGUUCAUUUGCUCCCUUUCAGCUCAUCAGCUCACGUUUAAGGUGACGCUCACCUGCGUCACCAGUCACUAAACAAUUAGUAUAUCAAACCUUUUUGAUCACUAGAUUUUUUUUGUCUAUUUUUAGUACUGGUCUGACAAAAAAAGUUCAAUUAAAAAAAAAGUGGCAGCACAUGCUGCAGCUAGGCGCAGGACUGGUGGUGGUGUGGAGGAUGAAAUUGAGCUAUCAGAAAUAGAGGAGCGUAUAGUUUCAUUAUGUGGUGGUGAAGGCUAUUCCAUAGGAAAUCCAAACGUCCGUUAUAAUCCAUUCCCGGUGAGAUAGUAAUCACCUGUUAAGGUCUUAAUAAGUAUGGUAUAUCUAUUUAAUUAAUAUUGACAUACUUUAAAAGGGCAUGAAAACAGUUUAUUUCAAUCGCGAAAUCAAAAACAAAAAUAAUAUUUUGUAUUAAUUAAAUGUAAUCACUAAUUAUUAGGCGUUGCAAGUUGCAUCGAAAUAAAUUAUUUUGUUAAUAUAUUUUUUUGUAUAGGGUUACAACUAAUUCGUUUUUAGGAGGCAAUACCACAAGUUGCAGUACAAGAUGCUGGCACUUCAUAUACAUCCAAUGUUAACAAAAGUCCCGUUUUAUUUGAGGAACAUAUUCCGGUGCUGGAGCUACAACAAAUAGAAAGUACCAACCAAAAACGUCAAAAUACUGCAAGGAGACUUUUUGCCAGCUUGGAAGAUGUUUCAAUCGCUGAAACAAGCCAGAACAUCCCACAGCAAGUGCUUCAAGUACCGAACUUGUCACCUCCCCCUCCUACUCUUUCACAUACGCCAAGCCCCCUGUCUAUGCCCAUUGCUUCCCCCUCUCGUCGCGGCACUACCACCACCGCCGGUACCAGCUCUCGCCCCAGCGUAGUAAUUCGUCCUCGUCGAAAUGAUGCACAUCCAUCAACGGGUCAAGAACGGCCUAUUUUGCGGUCAUCCUCCCCCAUUUCAACGCAAAGAACUCCUUAUCGCCGUGGAACUACAGGUAGCUCCAGCCGCAGUAGAGCUCGCA
rnacentral:misc_RNA from 1 species